CCAGCAGCCGCGGUAAUACGUAGGGUGCGAGCGUUAAUCGGAAUUACUGGGCGUAAAGCGUGCGCAGGCGGAUUGUUAAGCAAGAUGUGAAAUCCCCGGGCUUAACCUGGGAAUGGCAUUUUGAACUGGCAGUCUAGAGUGUGUCAGAGGGGGGUGGAAUUCCACGUGUAGCAGUGAAAUGCGUAGAUAUGUGGAGGAACACCAAUGGCGAAGGCAGCCCCCUGGGAUAACACUGACGCUCAUGUACGAAAGUGUGGGUAGCAAACAGGAUUAGAUACCCUGGUAGUCCACGCCCUAAACGAUGUCAACUGGUUGUUGGGGGAGUGAAAUCCCUUAGUAACGAAGCUAACGCGUGAAGUUGACCGCCUGGGGAGUACGGUCGCAAGAUUAAAACUCAAAGGAAUUGACGGGGACCCGCACAAGCGGUGGAUGAUGUGGAUUAAUUCGAUGCAACGCGAAAAACCUUACCUACCCUUGACAUGUCCAGAAUCCUGCAGAGAUGCGGGAGUGCCCGAAAGGGAAUUGGAACACAGGUGCUGCAUGGCUGUCGUCAGCUCGUGUCGUGAGAUGUUGGGUUAAGUCCCGCAACGAGCGCAACCCUUAUCAUUAGUUGCUACGCAAGGGCACUCUAAUGAGACUGCCGGUGACAAACCGGAGGAAGGUGGGGAUGACGUCAAGUCCUCAUGGCCCUUAUGGGUAGGGCUUCACACGUCAUACAAUGGUCGGUACAGAGGGUUGCCAAGCCGCGAGGUGGAGCCAAUCCCAGAAAGCCGAUCGUAGUCCGGAUUGU
rnacentral:rRNA from 1 species